rnacentral:rRNA from 1 species
UGCCAGCCGCCGCGGUAAUACGAAGGGUGCUAGCGUUGUUCGGAAUUACUGGGCGUAAAGAGCAUGUAGGCGGAUGAAUUAGUUAGAGGUGAAAGCCCGCGGCUCAACCGCGGAAUUGCAUUGGAUACUGAUAGACUAGAGUAUAGGAGAGGUGAGUGGAAUUCCUGGUGUAGCGGUGGAAUGCGUAGAUAUCAGGAGGAACACCAAAGGCGAAGGCAACUCACUGGACUAUUACUGACCCUCAGGGACGAAAGCUAGGGGAGCAAACAGGAUUAGAUA